UAUUUCUAAAUAUUACCACUAUAUAUUUCAGACUAUUGUUCGAUUGAUGGUAAAACAAAUGUUUAUUGAUCAUUGAGCAGACGUGAAUCAGGAAAUGGCAGGAAGAAUCCUAGCAGACGACAGUUGUCGCGCAGAUGCAAUCAUGCACCAUAUCAGACUGCCCGAAAUUACAGGCUGGCCUAGCUCUAUACUGGACUCGCUUUCAGCAGGUAGCAGACGACAAUAAAUUGUAAAGUGGAAAUUUGCGACUUCCGGUGUGUCUGCUUCUCGAUGUUGUGAUCUCAGUUACUUCCCCUGACGUUCAGUAUAUCAAAUGAGGGUCAAGUUUCAGGAUUUGAAAUUAGGAAAGAACGAAAGAUAUGAAAUGAGCACCGGCAAACUGAUCUUGGCAUGUUACAUCCUUAUCACAGAACUGGAACCUACUGAUGAG